CGAGGGGUAACAUGGAGCAGAAGCUUGCUUCACGUCUGAUGACGACCGGCGGAUGGGUGAGUAACGCGUAUGCGACUUGCCUCUUAGUGGGGGAUAACCCGGAGAAAUCCGGGACUAAUACCGCAUAUUCUUAAUUUCUCGCAUGAGUUAUUCACAGGAAAGAUUUAUUGCUAACGAGAUACGGCAUGCGUUCCAUUAGUUAGUUGGUGAGGUAACGGCUCACCAAGGCAUCGAUGGAUAGGGGAGCUGAGAGGCUGAUCCCCCACAUUGGGACUGAGACACGGCCCAAACUCCUACGGGAGGCAGCAGUGAGGAAUAUUGGUCAAUGGAGGAAACUCUGAACCAGCCAAGUCGCGUGAAGGAUGACGGUCCUAUGGAUUGUAAACUUCUUUAGUAGGCGAGUAAGGAUAGGUACGUGUACCCAUUAGAAAGUAGCCUAAGAAUAAGUAUCGGCUAACUCCGUGCCAGCAGCCGCGGUAAUACGGAGGAUACGAGCGUUAUCCGGAUUUAUUGGGUUUAAAGGGUGCGUAGGUGGCUGAUUAAGUCAGUGGUGAAAAGCUAUGGCUCAACCAUAGUCUUGCCGUUGAUACUGGUUAGCUUGAGUGUAGAUGAUGUAGGCGGAAUGCGUAUGUACGGUGAACUGCUUAAUAUUACGCAAACUCCGAUUGCAAGGCAGUUACAAAUACUAUGACACUGAGGCCCGAAAGCGUGGGUAUCACAGGAUUAGAUAC
rnacentral:rRNA from 1 species